UAACACGUAUCCAACCUGCCGUCUACUCUUGGACAGCCUUCUGAAAGGAAGAUUAAUACAAGAUGGCAUCAUGAGUCCGCAUGUUCACAUGAUUAAAGGUAUUCCGGUAGACGAUGGGGAUGCGUUCCAUUAGAUAGUAGGCGGGGUAACGGCCCACCUAGUCUUCGAUGGAUAGGGGUUCUGAGAGGAAGGUCCCCCACAUUGGAACUGAGACACGGUCCAAACUCCUGCGGGAGGCAGCAGUGAGGAAUAUUGGUCAAUGGGCGAGAGCCUGAACCAGCCAAGUAGCGUGAAGGAUGACUGCCCUAUGGGUUGUAAACUUCUUUUAUAAAGGAAUAAAGUCGGGUAUGGAUACCCGUUUGCAUGUACUUUAUGAAUAAGGAUCGGCUAACUCCGUGCCAGCAGCCGCGGUAAUACGGAGGAUCCGAGCGUUAUCCGGAUUUAUUGGGUUUAAAGGGAGCGUAGAUGGAUGUUUAAGUCAGUUGUGAAAGUUUGCGGCUCAACCGUAAAAUUGCAGUUGAUACUGGAUAUCUUGAGUGCAGUUGAGGCAGGCGGAAUUCGUGGUGUAGCGGUGAAAUGCUUAGAUAUCACGAAGAACUCCGAUUGCGAAGGCAGCCUGCUAAGCUGCAACUGACAUUGAGGCUCGAAAGUGUGGGUAUCAAACAGGAUUAGAUACCCUGGUAGUCCACACGGUAAACGAUGAAUACUCGCUGU
rnacentral:rRNA from 1 species